UACGUAGGGAGCGAGCGUUGUCCGGAAUUACUGGGCGUAAAGGGCGCGUAGGCGGGAACUUAAGUUAGAUGUGAAAACUCCGGGCUUAACCUGGAGACUGCAUUUAAAACUGGGUUUCUUGAGGGCAGGAGAGGAAAGUGGAAUUCCUAGUGUAGCGGUGAAAUGCGUAGAUAUUAGGAGGAACACCAGUGGCGAAGGCGACUUUCUGGACUGUACCUGACGCUGAGGCGCGAAAGCAUGGGGAGCGA
rnacentral:rRNA from 1 species